ACCAGAGUUUAACAUCAAGAAGAAAUAUCUUUCUCUGGAUGUGGCCAUAACUGUGACUUAGUUGAGCCUGCUACAGAACACAGGAAGAAGGAAAACAGCUAGAGACAGGAGGCCCUGAAUGGUCAUGGACUCAAUUCCACAACAGGUAGCCCCACUCCUCUGACCCGAAGCAUUGGCUUGAGGAUAGAACCAUCUGCCUAACCUCAGAAAGCUGACAUUAGAACAUGUUUGCAGGGAUUAAUGAACAGUUUCAGUGCACAGUAUUUUCUCAGUGACAAAACAAAGAGUACAAAAGCCAAGAAAAAGCCAGUGAUCUGGGAAAUGGUAAAUAUUGACAAAAUAUAAUUGCAAC